CAAGAUGGAUUUGACAUAAGUGGUAUCGGUUUGACUUGGGUUGUCUUCAGGAGUGAACCGGACUUUACCACCUUUGAUGUCGGUGAUAUGAACGUAACCGGCGGUUCCUGGAGCUUCACCGGUGGCUUGAUACAUGGUGGCGGUGGAGGUGGAGCCUUUGGUGACUUGGUGGAGCUUUUUGGAGCCGAAGUAGUCGGCGAAGACAUGGAGGGAGAGGACAUUCUUUAUGGUCUGAAUUGAUAGUCCUUUUGAAAGUAAUGAAGACAUGGCGGCAUUGUCGACGGCGCAGACGGUGAUUGUCUGCCGGCGGUUGAUCUCAUUGGCGAG
rnacentral:lncRNA from 1 species